GACAGAGGGUGCAAACGUUGUUCGGAAUUACUGGGCGUAAAGCGCGUGUAGGCUGCCUUGCAAGUCGGGUGUGAAAGCCCUGGGCUCAACCUAGGAAGUGCACUCGAAACUGCAAGGCUGGAGUCCUGGAGAGGAAGGCGGAAUUCUCGGUGUAGAGGUGAAAUUCGUAGAUAUCGAGAGGAACACCGGUGGCGAAGGCGGCGAUCUGGAUGAUGACUGACGCUGAGACGCGAAAGCGUGGGGAGCAAACAGG
rnacentral:rRNA from 1 species